GUAAUUAGAGAAAGGUGUACCAAGUGGCAGUUAAAUGGAUAAACGCCAAUUAUAAAGCUUUGUGACUCUUCUCUGAUCGGCGCCACACACACACACACACACACACACAGGACGGGUGGGAGUGCAUUUUCUCACCACCACACCACACCACCACACCACGGUAUCCUUGUCUCCUAGUCCCCGCCCCGCCGAGCUCAGCCAAGCCCUGCCCCGCCCCGCCGCUGCUAACUGUUGAUAGUGCGUAACUCCACAGCGAAAUACGAGAGGUUUUCCAACGAAAUUUUCCAGAACGAGGAGGAAACGGCUGGACUCGACAACUCAUGUCUACCGUCGGCUGGCGCACAGCUGAUCGAGGGACACCAUCUUCAGUCUACAAAAGACAGCUCAACUAUAUGGAAGGAAGACCAUCAGAAUACCACAAAGAGAAGCAGAUUUUCUGCCCUAGUUUAGAUUUAGAAAGGCCACAGCCAGUACGUGAGUGCAGCCGUGUGUCGUGAGCGGCAGGCCACAUGGAGACUGGUGGAGGCAGGCCUUCACGCCACGCCAUGGGUUCAUCACUUCCCGUCCCUUCCAGUCACCGUUUGUCGUAUCCCCGCACUCCGCACCUUCACGGCAUUACUACAACUUGUAUUACUGCCUUAUAUACUGCCACGGUCAUUACAGAAAGCACGACUACCUUAGCAUACCCAGCAGCCUUACUGAGGACUGGGGAACUAGUGGCGGCGCGGUUAGGGUACGUACAGUCAACUCAUCAAUGACACGUAAUGCAACUGUUUGGCCACGAUGUUAACCAUCUGGCUCCAAAUGCUUCGUGGAUGACAUACAGUUCUAAUAGACUUCGGCCGUAUGCGAGCUGACACACACUGCAAGCGUCUGCCGCGGGAUCAAACUACCAGCCUGCUCCUUCCUGCGGCCUUUCAUGUGCCCCUAGAUGCAACGUGUCCCCCCCCCUUCUCUCUCUCUCUCUCUCUCUC